CACGCUGUAAACGAUGAGUACUAGGUGUCGGGGGUUACCCCCUUCGGUGCCGCAGCUAACGCAUUAAGUACUCCGCCGGGGAAGUACGCUCGCAAGAGUGAAACUCAAAGGAAUUGACGGGGACCCGAACAAGUAGCGGAGCAUGUGGUUUAAUUCGAAGCAACGCGAAGAACCUUACCUAAGCUUGACAUCCCAAUGACAUCUC
rnacentral:rRNA from 1 species